AUUGAACGCUGGCGGCAGGCCUAACACAUGCAAGUCGGGCGGGCGGCGGAAGGGGGAGUAAUGUAUGGGGAUCUGCCUGAAGGAGGGGGCUAACUACUGGAAACGGUAGCUAAUAACGCAUACCAUCAGAUGAACCUCAAUGGGAUUAGCUUGUAGGUAAGGUAACGGCGUACCUAGGCGACGAUCCCUAGCUGGUCUGAGCGGAGGAUCAGCCACACUGGGCCGUAGACUCGGCCCAGACUCCUACUGCAGGCAGCAGUGGGGAAUAUUGCACAAUGGGGGCAAGCCUGAUGCAGCCAUGCCGCGUGUAUGAAGAAGGCCUUCGGGUUUGAAAGUACUUUCAGUCGGGAUGCGUUACCGACAGAAGAAGCACCGGCUAACUCCGUGCCAGCAGCCGCGGUAAUUC
rnacentral:rRNA from 1 species